rnacentral:lncRNA from 1 species
AUGCUUUCAACCUUAGACACACAGUGAUAGAAUGUCCAAAGCCUUCACAUCAUUGAAAGGGGGUCGACUUAAUGGAUGGCUAUAUCUUCAAGCUCGACUAAGCAUUUUAUGCGUGUAAUUUGUGUGAGUCCCGACCAUGGAUUGUAAUCUAAUGUGAUCUGCCUUUAUUGUUAACUUGGCGUCGACAACCAUUACCAAAUGCUCUUCAACCUAGUCAUUCAUAUCUCGACUAAACUGCCCAUUGAGAGGAGUACCCAGCGUGAACUCAGUAUCGAACUACACCCAUUCUUCUCUCAGAAGUGUGGCGUAUAAGCUUUGAUUUUCCAUGAUAAGUUUAAAUGCAUUCCCAGUUGUUCUGCGAUCUGAAAGGUAGGAUCAAGCUUCCAUUCGAAGGAGAUGAAUAUUUCCACCUUCUGGGAGGAAGUCUUGUUCCCCAAGAGGCGCAGCAUAACAAUAAGCAUUGAUCUCUUCUUCAAGUUGCAAUUCAUCCAUUUUAACAUAGACUUUUUUUAUUGUCGGAUCAAAGUAAUCCAUAUUUUGAAUGGGUUUGGACUUGGGGAUCAGUGUCCACCUAUAUUCUUGAUCCUUGGAAGAAGUUGUAACUAUAAAAAGGCGAGGAGCACAUAGUAAGUAUACGCAAGCAAGCAAACAAAGAUAUAAAAUUAAUAUCACAAUACACAUAGAAAGACUAACCCCACUGUCGUGGGUGUCUCCGAUAAUGAAUAUUGUCAGUAAAGACUUGCGUCGAUCUGUAUGGAAAACUUGGUAACAAAUAUAUAGUGUAUUGCACCAAUGCUUUGCAAAAAAUCACAGGAGAUGGGUGCUUGAACAUGCAUUAGAAGGUUGAUCGAGAGACACUAAAUGGGGUGAACCCUAACGACAUAAUUCUUGUCUUGAGAGGAAGGUGAUUUGUGAGAAUCGCCUCUUGGAAUCAAGACUUUGAGGCAAGUUCAAUGGAUAAGGAUGAUUUUGACCUGGUCUUUGACAAAAAUAUGUAUAGAGUAAAAAAACUAAAGUAACAAUUAUUAUACUUACAGAUAAGGGUGAAAUCCGAUUAGUGUUCGAUGACGCUUCGAACAAGCGCCAAGUGGGGAAGUCAGCUCGAACUUUUCAGUUGCUCUGGUUCUGCUUCGCUGGAACUUCUCGCUGGAAUCAACCCGCCCGAAUGAAUGGAGGUAACCCUCUAUUUAUAAGACUUUUUAUGGGGGUAACCUGGUCAUUUGGGUCGUAACCGCUUAACUGCCCAAAUCUGAUUUCAAUUCGACUUUUUUAGAUGUCGACUUUGUCCAGGUCAACUUUUCCAGCUCACUUUUGAGAAAGUCGAUCUCUAGGAAAGUUGAUCUCUGGAAAAGUCGAUCUGGGUAAAGUCGUCUUCUGUAAAAUUCGACCUUCCCACGAGUUGACUUGGAACCUCCCCCAACCUAUAUAGGUACCUUCAUUCACUUUGAGCUAUCUGAAUCUCUAGUUGUUGAUGUUGUAACCAAGUUCGGGACACUGUAUCACAAUACUCCCCCCUCCUCUACAUGUCAGGUUUUCAGUAUUCCCCCCCUUUGCAUGCUGAGACGGGUAUUACCGGUGAUGUUCUUGGAUGCAUGAUCAUGCAUCAUCACUAUAUCUUUCUCGAUAUAUGUUAUUAAACAAUCAUUUAUCAAACUAUCACCAAAUUUAUAUAUUAAAUUUAUUUUAAUAUAUAAAAUAUUGAGAGUGGAAGAGAGGAAGAGAAUAUAUUAAAUGAGUGCACAUGAUUAACUAAAUUCGUAAUAGCUUAAUUAAUAGCUGAUCAAUGUCUAAUAACUCUACUACUACACUAUAUCUUACCUAAAUAUCUACCUAGCUAACUACUACCUAGGCUACUCCUUGUCUUUUCAUGUCAGGCUAAACUUCCUAUUUAAAUCAACCCAUGAAAUUAGACUUUAACAAUCAAACGAAAACAACCGUCUUCUAACCCAUUCCCACCUUAAACCUCCUUCCUAGGUUCUGGUUUUUCGUUCUGUCUUGGUUCUGGUUCUUCGUUCAUUGUACUGGUUCUUUGUUCUGUGUUUUGAAGGUGAUUGAUCUGUGUUCUUAGUUUUAAAGUCUGGGUUCAUACUCACUUAUUUCCAUUUCCAAUCUCUGUUUUGCGUUCUACUGUUAAGGUGGCCUCCGUCUGGGUUCUUCGUUCUCUGCGUUCUGAAGGCGAUUCUUUUGGGGUUCUUCGUUCUGGGUUUUUUAUUCUGGGUUCUGGUUCUUCGUUCUUCGUCAACAUCGUUCAUCCUGUUUUUGCCCCUGUCAAACAUCGUCAACAUCGUUCUUCGCAGCCGAUCGACGGCGCUUAGUAGAAUACUCUCUUGGAGGUCAAGGGUUACUGUGCCGCUGAGAAAGAUGUCGAUUAUGACGAAAUCCGAUGAGGACGAAAGCGAUCGAGAAAAGCUUCCCGAAUGAACUUUUCACGGAUCCGAUUGUACAUAUAUCGUUACCACCGAGAAAUACAAAGCGUCUACCAAUGGAUGCGACUCCUCCGACGUGAAAUUUUCACGACCAAUGAUGAUGAUAUACAAUGUUAUGUACAGUAAAGCGAGUCGUACGCUGUUUCCCGACUUUUUCCAACCCACUAGAACGCAAUAAAGCGAGUCGUAACCUCGUCGAUGUUCGCCAUCGUGAUCGAUGGAGACCGGAGUUACCUUUGGGUAGAACCUGAGCAGCCGAAUCGGCAGAAGACUUGUAUUGUAAAAACGCCAUCCACAUCGUUGUAUUGCAAAAACUUGUAUUAAUAACUAAGUAUUUCCAUGUAAUAAUAUUUGUUUGAUAAAUGAUUAAUGAUAAUACCGAUUCCGAUUGAACUGACCAAUUAUACUUUAAAGUUAAAACAAUAACUAAGUAAUUGUUAAUUGAACAAUUAAUUAUUUCGAUUUUAAAGCUUCCAAAAUACUGAAAUCGAACCUUUUUUUUAAAGACGAUUUAGAUAAAAUAUAAGAUAAAGAGAUUAUAAGUUACAAUAAAAAAGCGAUUAAGCAAGCAACUAAGAGUAGAUAGGAUGUAUGAAAUGAAUAUGGCAUGCUACUCCUCGGCUUGUAGGUCGGUAACCAAUAACGAAACUUUCUCCCAUCUUCUGCUAGUUGUAUGGGGAAUCUGGUGUUCGCGAAAAGAGGUCGAUCUGUCGCUCGCAAUCAAAAACGUGGAACCACUACCGCUCAGGCGCUCGCAGACACUUCGGUGCUCGCUCUUCUGCCAGACGCUCGCGGAGACCCUAAGGUGCUUCCUCGUGAAGAACCCCGCUCGCUGCUUUUCCUAGAGAACCCAUGACGCUUGCUUCGCUCAGAGCAAGACGGUGCUCGCUCCUUUGUCAGACGAACCGCACAUGGAGAACCCAAAACGCUAGCACGCGGAGAACUCAAAACGUCGCACGCGGAGAACCCACCAGACUUGCUCGCUCGCUCGUUUGCUCGCUUGUUCGCUCAGGGCAAACGAGCGAGCACCACCUCGCUCUCUGUUCGCGUCUGCAAGAAAAGAAAUAGCGUGAAGAUGACUCGUGCAUGAGAGUGAAAAAGACGGAAGGUGAACAGCGGUGAGAAAAAUCCCAAGAAGUGACUGAAAUCGAACCAUUAAAACUUUUUUUGUUAAGGUUACUUUUAUAUUAAAAUAAAAUAGUUCAUGGUUUAAGUAAGUUUAUUUCUAAUCUAAUUACCUUUCAGUGACUAACCUCCUCCAUCCUUGUCGUGGAUGAGCAUUAACAAUGCGUCUCAUUGGAGCAACGCUUGUCGUUCGUUCACCUUCAUACACUUACGCUUGUAUUUGCCGCCGUCGAAACCUAUGUCUGCCAUGUCGAUUACUCUGCGCAGCACUUCCUGUUUUGGGUCGAGCUUUGACUGCAUCCGGCGUUGGUUCCUCUGUUUCCAGAUGUGGAACAGGGUGAUACCAUUGUAAUCCCCAAGCUGCAGUCCCAUAGAAGAACCAUUUACAACUUGCAUGCUGUGAAAAUGAAAUCGUAAUUAUGUGAUGUGACAUUUCACACACCUUUAAUAAAAUAAUAAAUCAAACAAAAAUAAUAAUAAAAUAACUCUCUUAGCAAUAAAUAAAAAAAAUCAGUUCUUGAAAGUUGGAAUGAUUCCCCAUGAAGGUAGUUUCACAGCGAAAUUGAGGUUGAUGAACAUGUACAACGACAAGACAAAAUAAAACAAAGCUAUAAUAAGACCUAUAAGUUAUAACCAAAACCUAUAAAAACACCUGUAACGAAAACCUACAAAACUUAUAAAAACACCUAUAAAACCUAAUAACACCUAUAAAUAACACAAAUAAUGACAACACCUAACAAAAACGUAAAAAAGAAAAUCUUGUCGUUCACGUUUAAUAUUAUAUAAUUAAAAAAGGAAGAUAAAUAAUGAAUUUAUUAAAGUAAUUGUUUUAAUUAACUAUAAUUAUUAAACAAAUUGAUUAAAUAAUCAAUUUUAAAUCUAUUUAUAAAUAUAAAGAGUAAAAAUAAAAGAUCACAUUGAUCAAUCUACCUUGAUAAAUGAUAUUUAGAAUUAAAAGCUGACUUCUCACCACAUUUAAUACUCUACAAUAAAAAAAAGACAAAUAAUGAAUUUAUUAAAGUAAUUGUUUGAAUUAACUAUAGAUAUUGAACAAAUUGAUUAAAUAAUCAAUUUUAAAUCAAUUUAUAAAUAUAAAUAGUAGAAAUUAAAAAAGUGUGCACACUUGAUCCAAAUUAUAUAUUAAAUAUUGUCAAAUUUAUUAAACUCUUGAAAAAUAUUAAUAUAUUGUGAAAAUUGCAUUUAACCCUUUAUAAAAAAAAUUAUUACAUAUAGGCCUUUAUUUUUCCAAAAUUCAAAGGGGCAAUUGCCCUCCCUGUCACCCUCUGGCUACGCCACUAAUUAAGUCUGACAAUUCGUGUAAUACACACGAACAUGGUUGACACAAUGAAUUUUUUUAUCGAAACGAACACGACACCAAACGCAAUCCGUGUCAAAAAAAAAAAGACACGAACACGACCGAAUCCGUAGCAACACGACACGACUUACAUAAAUCCGAUACAUUUUUAUUAUUUUACUCUUAUUAUUUUAUGAUUAAACAAUAAACAUAGUUAAUUAAUAAUAUUAUAUUUUCGUGUAUUUUUAAAAAUCGCGUGGUGUCGUAUUUUUUUACUUUCACCCUUACCCAAAAUAGGUCACUGAUCACUGGUCACUGCCUCACUGCCUCACUGGUCAGUGUAGCAACUGACAAGGGUAUAUUUUAUAUUAAUAUAAAAUAAAAGGUUAUACAUAAGAUACGGAUAUACCGUAAGUCCGUAAUCGAAUAUGGUCGGUCAAUGCCCAAUGGUGUGUACCAACCGGUAUAACUCAAGCACCGUGACGUCCCCUGCCCCUUCUUAUUUUCCGGCGGCCCACAACACAAAUAUGUACCACUCUCAGAUCUGAAAUCUCCCACUCCCAGAUCCA